rnacentral:ncRNA from 1 species
GAAAGCCGUAUGCGGGAAAACUGCACGUACGGUUUGAUGUGGCAGGAGAUGGAAACCAGACUCUUAACAUGAGUUCAGGCGCCAUCUCCUGACCCUGC